UACGAAGGGGGCGAGCGUUGUUCGGAUUUACUGGGCGUAAAGGGCGCGCAGGCGGCUUGACAAGUCAGACGUGACAGCCCCGGGCUUAACCUGGGAACUGCGUUUGGGACUGUUGGGCUAGAGAUCGGGAGAGGAGAGUGGAAUUCCCAGUGUAGAGGUGAAAUUCGUAGAUAUUGGGAAGAACACCGGUGGCGAAGGCGGCUCACUGGCUCGUUUCUGACGCUCAGGCGCGACAGCGUGGGGAUCAAACGGG
rnacentral:rRNA from 1 species